rnacentral:rRNA from 1 species
GACGAACGCUGGCGGCGUGCCUAACACAUGCAAGUCGAACGGAAAGACCCGGCUUGCGGGGCACUGAAGUGGCGGACGGGUGGGUGAGAAACGGGUGGUUAGCCCUGCACUUCGGCAUAGGUAAGGGAGAGUAACCGUAAUACAUACCAGAUAAUAUCUUGAAUGAGAUGGUUGGAUAGUUAAUUAGGGGUAGGAUGAGCCCUUGGCCUAUCAGCGAGUUGGUGUGGUAACGGCUUAACAUGGCGGCGAUGCGUGGCCGACCUGCGAGGGGGACCGGCGACUCUGGGGCUGAGCCACGGUCCAGACUCCUACGGGCGGCACAAGUGGGGAAUCUUGCGCGCUGGGCGGAAGCCUGACGGAGCGGCGCCGGGUGAGUGAAGAAGGGCUUCGGGUCGUAAAACUCUGUUAUGGUGGAAGACCCAGUGUGCUAGUGACUAAGCAUUUUGUGACGGUACCUAAACAGGAAGCCCCGGCUAACUACGUG